rnacentral:rRNA from 1 species
UACGGAGGGUGCAAGCGUUAUCCGGAUUCACUGGGUUUAAAGGGUGCGUAGGCGGGUAUGUAAGUCAGUGGUGAAAUCCCCGAGCUUAACUCGGGAACUGCCAUUGAUACUAUAUAUCUUGAAUAUUCUGGAGGUAUGCGGAAUAUGUCAUGUAGCGGUGAAAUGCUUAGAGAUGACAUAGAACACCUAUUGCGAAGGCAGCAUACUACGGAAAGAUUGACGCUGAGGCACGAAAGUGUGGGGAUCAAACAGA